AGGUGCUGCAGUGGCUGUCGUCAGCUCGUGUCGUGAGAUGUUGGGUUAAGUCCCGUAACGAGCGCAACCCUUGUCCUUAGUUACCAGCACGUUAUGGUGGGCACUCUAAGGAGACUGCCGGUGACAAACCGGAGGAAGGUGGGGAUGACGUCAAGUCAUCAUGGCCCUUACGGCCUGGGCUACACACGUGCUACAAUGGUCGGUACAAAGGGUUGCCAAGCCGCGAGGUGGAGCUAAUCCCAUAAAACCGAUCGUAGUCCGGAUCGCAGUCUGCAACUCGACUGCGUGAAGUCGGAAUCGCUAGUAAUCGUGAAUCAGAAUGUCACGGUGAAUACGUUCCCGGGCCUU
rnacentral:rRNA from 1 species